rnacentral:rRNA from 1 species
AACGAACGCUGGCGGCAUGCCUAACACAUGCAAGUCGAACGAGACCUUCGGGUCUAGUGGCGCACGGGUGCGUAACGCGUGGGAACCUGCCUUUAGGUUCGGAAUAACUCAGAGAAAUUUGAGCUAAUACCGGAUAAAUGUCUUCGGACCAAAGAUUUAUCGCCUUUAGAUGGGCCCGCGUUGGAUUAGCUAGUUGGUGGGGUAAAGGCCUACCAAGGCGACGAUCCAUAGCUGGUCUGAGAGGAUGAUCAGCCACACUGGGACUGAGACACGGCCCAGACUCCUACGGAGGCAGCAGUGGGGAAUAUUGGACAAUGGGCGAAAGCCUGAUCCAGCAAUGCCGCGUGAGUGAUGAAGGCCUUCGGGUUGU